UACGGGGGGUGCGAGCGUUGUCCGGAAUCACUGGGCGUAAAGGGCGCGUAGGUGGCCUGAUAAGGGUGUGGUGAAAGUCCGGGGCUCAACCCCGGAUCUGCCGUGCCGACUGUUAGGCUGGAGUACUGUAGGGGCAGGCGGAAUUCCGGGUGUAGCGGUGGAAUGCGUAGAGAUCCGGAAGAACACCAGUGGCGAAGGCGGCCCGCUGGGCAGUGGCUGACGCUGAGGCGCGACAGCGUGGGGAGCAAACGGG
rnacentral:rRNA from 1 species